AUUGAACGCUGGCGGCAUGCCUUACACAUGCAAGUCGAACGGUAACAGGUCUUCGGAUGCUGACGAGUGGCGAACGGGUGAGUAAUACAUCGGAACGUGCCCGAUCGUGGGGGAUAACGGAGCGAAAGCUUUGCUAAUACCGCAUACGAUCUACGGAUGAAAGCAGGGGACCGCAAGGCCUUGCGCGGACGGAGCGGCCGAUGGCAGAUUAGGUAGUGGGUGGGAUAAAAGCUUACCAAGCCGACGAUCUGUAGCUGGUCUGAGAGGGCGACCAGCCAAACUGGGACUGAGACACGGCCCAGACUCCUACGGGAGGCAGCAGUGGGGAAUUUUGGACAAUGGGCGAAAGCCUGAUCCAGCCAUGCCGCGUGCAGGAUGAAGGCCUUCGGGUUGUAAACUGCUUUUGUACGGAACGAAAAGACUCUUUCUAAUAAAGAGGGUCCAUGACGGUACCGUAAGAAUAAGCACCGGCUAACUACGUGCCAGCCGCCGCAGUAACAC
rnacentral:rRNA from 1 species